UCUCCGUAGGUGAACCUGCGGAGGGAUCAUUACAGAGUUCAUGCCCUUCGGGGUAGAUCUCCCACCCUGUGUUAUAUACGAUUGUUGCUUUGGCAGGUCGCCUUCGGGCACUCGGCUCCAGCUGAGGUGCGCCUGCCAGAGGACCCCCAACUCUGUGUUUAGUGUUGUCUGAGUCUUAUUUAAUACGUUAAAACUUUCAACAACGGAUCUCUUGGUUCUGGCAUCGAUGAAGAACGCAGC
rnacentral:misc_RNA from 1 species